rnacentral:rRNA from 1 species
AUGAAAUUAAAUGUUAAUGCGGGGUUUGAUCAAGAUCUACUUGAAGGAUCCGUGGGGCAAUCAUUCGCGAUCAGAGUGGACAAUUCAUUGCAGCGGCGAACGAAAAAAAUAGGCAUUUGCUUUGAUUCUUUCACAGCAGAGGCUCUGGCCGUCAGGUUUGGGCUGAACCUCGCAAGAACUGUCGGAUGCAGCAGGAUCGUGGUAAACUCGGAUAGUUUGGAGAUAGUAGAAGCCCUAAAAGACGGCAAUUCUUCUUCAGUUGCAUCUGCUAUUAUUGACGAUUGCUUCUUCAUGGCCUCUGAUUUCAACCAUGUUAUUUAUGAUCAUUGUAGUAGAGAGAAUAAUAAAGUAGCCCAUGAACUUGCUAGGCUAGUUAAGUUUUCCCCUCCUAGUUGUUGGUUGGGUUCAGCGCCUCCUGAGGUGCUUUCAUUACUUGUAAGUGAUAACACUGUUCUCGUAUCUGAAUAA